UGGGCCAAAGGUGAGGGGAAGGAGCAAUUCUCAAAAAUUCUAAAAGAGAAACUCAACAAGUUUUUAAAGAAAUCAUGUUUCUGUUUUGGUCUUACCACCUAAGGCUCUUUGUGUGAGCAUCUAAAAUUAUUAUUGAAAGGCAUUUAGUGAGGAUUCUUGGAUUGAGGCUGUGCGUUGUAGACCGGAUUUCUGUGACCUUUCAGAAUUUUCUAGCUCUUUACGAAGUCAACAUCCUUUAACUUAUCUUGAACUGAGAUUAUUGGAUUUUCCUCGCACAUCUGAAGCUAAAUAGAGCACAGCACAUUUCAAAUGCCUGCUGUAUACAGAGCAGUGUGCUAGAGACAGUGAUAAAUCACAAAGGCCGUCUCUCUGAGACCCUGCCAAACUGCAUUUGCACAACUCUUUGCAGAUGAGUUUUAUGAAUUCUUUAGAGGAGAUCAGCAAAACCUACAUCCUUUUCAGCAAAGGUGCUUGGAAUACUUCCGUGAACAAAACAGAAAAAAUUCUCUACCUUCCUGAUGAUGAACGUCUUCACAUUUGCGUGUCCACAAGAUCCGUAGUGCUUAAGAAUUUGGCCCCCAAAAGCCUUAACAUGUUUUUCCAAAAUCAUUAGAUGUGAGGUCAAAAGACAUGAAUAAACCAUUCACAUAGGAGGAAAUACAGAAAAUUACUCAACACAUGGAAAACAAAUCAGCCUCAGAAAUAAUGAAAGAAUUAAAAUAUAAACAACUUCAUAGAAGUUGGUAGAAACGUUAUGUAAUUUUAAGUUAUCAAAAAGAAAAGAAAUGAUUAUAUGCAAUGUAGGUGGGGUCAUGGGAAAACAGAAAAGCUCUUAAACUGCUGAUGCCAUUAUAAAUUGGUUGGGUCUUUUGGAAAUUGAUUGCAUCACUAAUUUAGAAAUUCUUUUUUUCCAUGAAUGUCCAAAGGAAAUACUUGAGAAAAGCAAGGUAUACCACCGCUUUUAAUAGACAGAAAGAGACUGAACAUAUUGCAAAUGUCCCACCAUUUGAGAGUAGAUAAGAAACCUGUGGUAUGAUAGGAUGGAAAGCUCUUAUCCACUAAAAAAAGAGAGAAGACUAUACACUUUGUGAUACACCAAAUGUAUACAAAAUAACAUUAGUUAAAACAGAGAAUGAAAAAUAUUAUGCACGAACUGAUUAUAGC
rnacentral:lncRNA from 1 species